AGCGAACGCUGGCGGCAGGCCUAACACAUGCAAGUCGAACGAAGUCUUCGGACUUAGUGGCGGACGGGUGAGUAACACGUGGGAACGUGCCUUUAGGUUCGGAAUAACUCAGGGAAACUUGUGCUAAUACCGAAUGUGCCCUUCGGGGGAAAGAUUUAUCGCCUUUAGAGCGGCCCGCGUCUGAUUAGCUAGUUGGUGAGGUAGAGGCUCACCAAGGCGACGAUCAGUAGCUGGUCUGAGAGGAUGAUCAGCCACAUUGGGACUGAGACACGGCCCAAACUCCUACGGGAGGCAGCAGUGGGGAAUCUUGCGCAAUGGGCGAAAGCCUGACGCAGCCAUGCCGCGUGAAUGAUGAAGGUCUUAGGAUUGUAAAAUUCUUUCACCGGGGACGAUAAUGACGGUACCCGGAGAAGAAGCCCCGGCUAACUUUGUGCCAGCCGCCGCUGUAAGAC
rnacentral:rRNA from 1 species